GCGAUCAUACCAGCACUAAUGCACCGGAUCCCAUCAGAACUACGCAGUUAAACGUGCUUGGGCGAGAUUAGUACUUGGAUGGGUGACCUCCUGGGAAGUCCUCGUGUUGCACCCC
rnacentral:rRNA from 1 species